rnacentral:rRNA from 1 species
UACGUAGGGGGCAAGCGUUGUCCGGAUUUAUUGGGCGUAAAGCGAGCGCAGGCGGUUUCUUAAGUCUGAUGUGAAAGCCCCCGGCUCAACCGGGGAGGGUCAUUGGAAACUGGGAAACUUGAGUGCAGAAGAGGAGAGUGGAAUUCCAUGUGUAGCGGUGAAAUGCGUAGAUAUAUGGAGGAACACCAGUGGCGAAGGCGGCUCUCUGGUCUGUAACUGACGCUGAGGCUCGAAAGCGUGGGGAGCAAACAGG